GAGAUGGAGUAUUGGAGGCCUACAAUCAUGGUGAAGGAAAGAAAGUGCUCUUGCUGUUCCAAGAGCAAUCUGAAACCUCCUAGACCAGUAUAAUUCACUAUUACCAACACCAGUACUGGUGCCUGGAUAAUCAAGUCCAUGUAGAUUAUCGUAUAGAUUACCAUUUGGAACAAAUUCAGAUAAAAUUAGCUGCAUUGAUGAGGACCAAU
rnacentral:misc_RNA from 1 species